GGGAGUCGGUCUCGGUCCGGCACCCCAGAACUCCAACUGGCAGACAGGCAUGUGUGACUGCUUCAGCGACUGUGGAGUCUGCCUCUGUGGCACGUUUUGUUUCCCGUGCCUUGGGUGUCAAGUUGCAGCUGAUAUGAAUGAAUGCUGUGUGGAGCAAGCGUCGCAAUGAGGACUCUCUACAGGACGUGAUAUGGCAUCCCUGGAUCUAUUUGUGAUGAUUAUAUGGCAACCCUUUGCGGUCCUCCUUGUACUCUUUGCCAAAUCAAGAGAGAUAUCAACAGAAGGAGAGUCAUGCGUACUUUCU
rnacentral:lncRNA from 1 species